CAAAAGAGAAGAAACCCUAUACUAAUCUUAGUCAAUCUAGAAGUGAAAUCCAACGUGAGUGACCAUCCACAGCUGCUGAAGAUCUGGGAAAUGCCAAUCGGUGUUGUGUAGCUUCAGAUGAUGAAUGAAAGUUGACAUAUGUUGUUCGAUUCAAACAAAAGCAUCUGAAAAUCGAGGUGUGAAGAUUCCAAAGAUUUCUAUCUGGUAAGUUCUUUUUCCUCUCCUUUGUAGCUCUUAUGCUUCCAAAGUAUUGAAUCGAUAUGGGCAUGCUGAGUUGUGGCUGAACUUGACUUGAUUGUUGCUGAGCCUGUAGCUGAUGUUGCUUCUGUUUUUGGUCCGAAUCUGCUCUUUUAAUCUGUACCCGCUUGGGUAAUUCCUUCAUCAAGUCCACUUCUACUUUGACUCUUGCACAGCUAGGCCUUGUUUGAUUGUCGGUGGCUGUAUCUAUCACAAUGGGUCUGCCCACUGCAUUUGCUAAUGAGAACAAGGAUUCCUUGUCAAAGAGAUUAGUAGCGACCACGGAAAGGAGAUCCAUGCUAUAGCAAUUGUUGUUUCCUCAUCCGGCUUAAACCAAGGGUCCCAUAUGAGAAAUCUAACUGGAAAGAUUCUAUUCCUGAACCUAAUCUCCCAUGGUCGAGAAGCCAGGGUAGCAUAGUCUUCUAGUAAAGAUAAACGAACUAGAAUAUGCCUAUCCUCCAAUAGCCCUAUGGUACAGGGGCCCUUUACUUCCAAUUGUGUUGGUAUACUUCUCCUCAAUUCAUGUACAUCCGGUCUUCCAUAGGAGAAUUUAGCAACAAGUGCAUACUGUAAAUUCUGUCUCUUACAUAGUAUCUCAAAUUCCUUCUUUGUCCAUGUAACAGAGGGUUCUCCAUGUAAAUAUGUAACAGGUUUAAUGUCAAUUGGUCCUGGUUUUGGUGUGUU